rnacentral:rRNA from 1 species
UACGUAGGGGGCUAGCGUUGUCCGGAAUUAUUGGGCGUAAAGAGCUCGUAGGCGGCUCGGUAAGUCGGGUGUGAAACCUCCAGGCUCAACCUGGAGACGCCACCUGAUACUGCUGUGGCUAGAGUCCGGUAGGGGAGUGUGGAACUCCUGGUGUAGCGGUGAAAUGCGCAGAUAUCAGGAAGAACACCAGCGGCGAAGGCGGCACUCUGGGCCGGAACUGACGCUGAGGAGCGAAAGCGUGGGUAGCAAACAGG